ACAGCAAACAUUCAAUCAAUCCAGAAACAGUGUACUAAAAAAACAAAGACACGCGGCUGCAGAAAUAAAUAAAAUUUUCGGAGGCAACGCGCAAACUGACGGAUAGUGAAUCCCGUCUGAAAAUUUUCGGAGGUAACGCGGGAAACUAGCGGACAGUGAAUCCCGUCCGAACAGCCGGACUGUAAGAGGCCCCCCUCCUCUCCCUCCCUGCCCUAUCGCAGUGGUUGCCGGCUCCUUCUCUCCCCUCCCCUCCCAUCCGACUCCUCCUCUCCUCUCCCCUCCCAUGCCGACUCCUCCUCUCCUCUCCUCCACUGCCCCACCGAGGACGCAGCGUCGCCCGGAUCUGGAGACGCCCCCGCCCCGACGGUGAUGGCAGACAAGGCCGUGGCACCGUCCUAGGCGUCAGCCAAGAGGGCGCGCACGGUGGAGGAGAAGCCGACAAUGCUGUGGAAGGCAUGGUGCCGGCUGCGGCUAUCUGCGUAUGACCCGGCGUGCUCACGGUCACCAGCCCCCAACAGGUCACGCUCUACAUCCGCCAGCUCAAUCUCACCCGUGCCCUUGGCUGCUUCCCUGCCUCCACUGCGGCCAUCGCCAUCUCUGACCCCGACGGCCCUCCGCUCUUGCUUUCUGGGAUGGACCCAGCAAUUCAUCUUCUCCGGGACCGGGAAGCAGUUGUUGGAUGAGCGCACCCUGGCCGACUACAACAUCGGCAAUGAAUUUGGCUGUCUUUCUUAGCUGGCUCUGCUCAUCUUGCAUUCUUGUGGUCGCUUCCCAACUAAUUGGCUCAGACGCAAGUUCUGAAUGCAAAAGGUCUUUUAGUUUGAGCUGAAUGCUGCAACUUUUUCACUCAUAAAAAUAGCUUUAGCUUAUUUUUUGAAUGCUUCUGAGCUUUACUUUUUCUAAUUGCUUUUGUAUUCAAGAUCGCUAUUUUUUCAAAGAAAUAUAUGGCCUGGACGACAAAUCAUUAACUUUUAGCCUGGCUGCCUCGAAUUGGCUUUUUCAAAGAAAUAUGUGGUGGAGCAGUCACUGCCGCCGCGGAUACAAGUUGGCCAUUCAGAAUGAUAAAAUAUUCAGAAUGAUGCAAGUUUGCCAAUUGCUUUCAGCCAUGUCCUUUGAGGCGGUAGUUGCCAUUUUAACUUUCUUAACUUAUUUCUUUGUCAUGUGCCUGUGUAUUAGACUUUUCUGAAUGACACGUUAGAAUGAUCCACACAUCACUUAUGAACCAUAUGUCGUCUGUAAGACAAAAGUUGCCUGACAAUUCUAUCCAAACUACUUCUUUCAUAAGGUGCUAAUUGCCAUCAUAACAAUUGUGGUUUUGUCAAACAUCCCUGCAGGUUUCAAGGGCUAAUUCUCUGCAACACCUGAACAUUAGUGGAACAUUUAUCAAAGAAUAAUCGUUGUAGCCAUUGGGCUACAGCUCAUGUGAUGUGUUGAUUAGGAGAGUUGUGGCUAAGGGCAGAGACAUAUAGUUGAAGCACGCGAUGUCUUCAAGGCGGAAGAGGCGGUGUUGCAAAAGAAGAUUUCUCAGGAGAAGACACCAUAGCUUAUCUACUAAACAUGCAGAAUGAGAUGAUGGAUCUCAUGAAUGUGAGCAAUAAAAUUCAAGAUGUUUUUCCUUUUAUAUGUUAUUUGUUUUUCUACAUGCCAUAGAGGUAAGGGAAUGAGAGGUUCAUGCCUUUGUUUGGUAAGCUAAAUCCUGCAUUAUCCAGGCUUAUGUUCGCCUGCAGGAUUUGCCUUUUGUAUAUAAUCUAUUCCUAUGUUUUGGUAGAAAGAACUAAAUUGUUAGCCUUUCUAGCGGUCAUUUCACUACUCUGCAUUAAGAAUUUAUGUUAGCUAUCAAGUUAACAGCUCUACAGGUUUAGUCAUGUCUUCUUGCGCGGGUGGGUUCGUGACUUCUUGCGCAGGUGGCUAGAGCUCAGCUAGGGCAGUGAUGGUCUGGGGUGAAUCAAAGCGCAGCGCCAUGGAGAUGUAGAGCUGGUAAUAUGAGGAUUCAAUUGAUGUGUUUCGGUUUCAUUUGGAUCCUAUUAUGUUUCCCCUUUCUAUCCAUUUCUUUCCAAGAUUUUAUUUGCGAAAAAGCAAUAGUUUUCUGUCUCCAGUGUUUGCAGCAGCUGUUAAGAAUUGCAUAUCUUUGCUGCUGUCCCAGAAGAUUCUAAAUCCUAGCGCCUAGAUGGAUUAAACAUAGAUUGAGCGUUUGUUCUUUUUUUUUUUAUAAUUUUUUCUGUCAACAUGUAUGGCUCAGAUUAGAUGUGCCCAACUUCAAUCUUAGAAGGAAUUAUAACAUAUUAAGGCAAUUUUGAUUCCAAAUUUUCCAAACUUUUGGAAGAGGUGAAAAGAAUUGCUACCGAAAAUAUCUUGGUGCUGUGAUCUUGUCUAACAUCGUAGGGAAGUUGGGUAAGCAGAAGCUGUAGCACGCUUGGAGGGGAUUCGUUAGAAGCAGAAACAAAAGCUGAUCGCUCCUUGGUGGCAUCAAUUGCCCAUGUGCUCAGUAGGAAGGCUGGUAGCUGCAAAGCUCAAGAAUUGAGAAGUUUGAAGUGGAGCGAAAUAAAUUUGUGCAUGAGUCUUGUCAAUGUCAAAGACGUAGUAUUCUUUUUUUUUU